UACGGGGGGAGCAAGCGUUGUUCGGAUUUACUGGGCGUAAAGGGCGCGUAGGCGGCCACCGCAAGUCGACUGUGAAAUCUCCGGGCUUAACCCGGAAAGGUCAGCCGAUACUGCGGGGCUAGAGUGCAGAAGGGGCAACUGGAAUUCUCGGUGUAGCGGUGAAAUGCGUAGAUAUCGAGGGGAACACCUGCGGCGAAGGCGGGUUGCUGGGCUGACACUGACGCUGAUGUGCGAAAGCUAGGGGAGCGAACGGG
rnacentral:rRNA from 1 species